rnacentral:hammerhead_ribozyme from 1 species
AUCCAGAUGAAGAUUCCUAAAUAGGACGAAACGCGCGUUCUGGAU